rnacentral:ncRNA from 7 species
CUGCCCUUUGUACACACCGCCCGU